CUGGGUUCGAAUAUAUUGUUUCCUUCUGUUUGGUUCGGUAUCCAUGGAAACCCGCACCUUCUGGACAGUCUGCUCUCCAUGGCUGACUGAUGAAUGGAUGGAAGGGGAGCGCGUAGCUCUGCUGUGAGAUGCUCCUGCCAGGUUCCUUCCCUUGGCUUCUCUCAGUGAUGAACUUUGCUGAAGAUGUAAGCUGAACGAAACCUUCUCUUUCCCAAGUUGCUUUUGGUCAUGGUGUUUAUCACAGCAACAGAAAAGCAAGUGAGGACAGGAAGUCAGGUCCAGGAAAGGAAGGCCAAAAGAGUUUGGCCACAGCCAGGGAUGCCGGCGCCGACAUGACCGAGGCGGUUAGCAAGUGUGUGGCUGACACCUGUGGUGGAGAGGAAGAGGUUGAUCUUGGGCCAGAGAACAGUGUUUCCUAGGAGGUCUGGAAGAACAGCCAUUCCCAGUGUGCCCCAUCCUACUGGAGCAGAGGACAAGACAGGAAUUCAUGUCACCUGACACCUCCUUGGGAAAAGCACGAAACUUAAAUCUGAUUAUUUGAGAUGAGAACUAAUCCUGCAUUGUAAGAAUUUUCAAAGACUUCUCAACUCCUUUGCUAUCUCUGAACAUUCAGCUGGCCCUACAGUCCAUAUUCUGUCACAUUUCCAGUUCAGAUGGGGGUGUGCGAGGCGGAAGGACGUGGAGAAAGGACAGAGAUGGACAGUGCCUACUCUUCCUGCCUCUUCUCUCUUACACAUCAUUAACUCAUCCUCUCUCCCUUUGUUGUGUGAAGUAUUUCUCCUUUCCUCAUUGUAUGUCUAGUCCCUUCUCACCUACUCCACACUAGAAUUGUUCUGGAUUUUCUCCCCUUCGGCAAGGGCUCAUCUUGGUUGUCAACUUGACUUGUGGUGGUUUGAAAGAAAAUGGUACCCAAAGGGAGAGGCACUAUUAGGGGGCAUGGCCUUGUUGGAGGAAGU